rnacentral:rRNA from 1 species
UACGUAGGGGCCGAGCGUUGUCCGGAGUUACUGGGCGUAAAGCGCGCGCAGGCGGCUCGUCAAGCCUGACGUGAAAGCCCCCGGCUCAACCGGGGAGGGUCGUCGGGACUGGCGGGCUUGAGGUCGGCAGGGGUUGGUGGAAUUCCCGGUGUAGUGGUGGAAAUGCGUAGAGAUCGGGAGGAACACCCGUGGCGAAGGCGGCCAACUGGGCCGGACCUGACGCUGAGGCGCGAAGGCGUGGGGAGCGAACGGG